GACGAACGCUGGCGGCGUGCUUAAUACAUGCAAGUCGAACGGACAGGCCCGGAUCUUGUGGGUCUGACGUUAGGCGCACAGGUGAGUAUAACGCGUGUAUACUGUCCCUAACUUUCGGGUAUCUUUUCGAGACAGGGGCUCUAAUCCGGUAGGAUAUAUUGCAGCACGGUGGGGAAUGGUAAGAUUCGGCGGUUGGGUCUGGAAUAGCGGCUUAUCCGCUUGUUGGUGGGGUAGUGGCUUACCAAGGUUAUGACGGGUAGCCGGCCUGAGAGGGUGACCGGCCACAUUGGGACUGAGAUACGGCCCAGACUCCUACGGGAGGCAGCAGUGGGGAAUAUUGCACAAUGGGCGGAAGCCUGAUGCAGCAACGCCGCGUGCGGGAUGACGGCCUUCGGGUUGUAAACCGCUUUCGCCUGUGACGAAGCGUGAGUGACGGUAAUGGGUAAAGAAGCACCGGCUAACUACGUG
rnacentral:rRNA from 1 species